AAAGCAGCCCCUUCAUCUCUGAGAGCUGCCUUUGUUCUCUCUGCUUUUUGAUCUCUAAAGUUACCCAUCCGCUGCAGGAUUUCAGUCAUUGCCAGGGACGCAUUCCCGACCAGCUGGGAGGCACUUUCGCGAAGUGCAGCUUCUGGCUUCUGCUGCUAAGGUAGACCUGCAACAUGAAGGGGCAGUGAGUGACUUGAGCCCCCCCCGCCCUCCUCUUGCCUCUGGGGUGUGAAGUGCGGCGGUGGGGACCAGACAGGGAGAUCCUGUAGCUCCUGCAGGACCAGAGAACUGCUCUGAAGAUGGGGAGACGCCUGCGGUGCCAAAGCUUCCUUCCAGGGGCAGUAACCCCAUUGUUUUGCUGGGAGAAGGAACUUUGAAAUCCCGUUGCCCCUGGGGUUUAUUUUGCGUGCGGGGGGGGGGUUGAGAGCCCUGUAAUGGCAAAGGAUGCCUUCGGAGGUGGAUACAGAACCAGCUGCUGAAACAUCUGCAAAUACCCCCCAGGAAAGAACACCUGCAUCUGCAGAUGCUCGAGAGGAGCCAGCGUGGUGGUGGUACUCUUACCUGCACCAGUGACUUGGGUCAUCUUGUUUCUCACUACACUCGGGCUGAAUACAACAAGGACCUUUGCUGGGCACCUUCCCUAUACUUUCUUCUUUUCAACAUCCAAGACCACUUUGUGUGCAUUCUUGAGGAUACCUGCUCCAGCAUGUUCUACCAGCAGCUGGAACUGUGCAAUGGUCUUCAAUCUCCUUAUGCUCCAGGGAGAGGCAGAUAUAGUAGACCCUGAACAUGAAUCACCAAAACCAGGCUAUCUAUGGCUUCAUUGCUGUCUAAAUGGCUUAAAGGAGCCCCGGAGCAGAGUCAGCAAAGUCACUACAAGGCACAGAACAUUAAGCAAUGAUACAAAUAAUCCAGAGGCCAGAUGCUGUUCAGACACCUUACAAUAGUUCCUUAUCAUGAUGACUUUGAAAGGAUGCUGUCUAUGGACAGCAGUAUCAGGGCACACUUUACGGCUGGGUCUGGUACUGACCUGGAUGAGGCCUGCAUCAGUGACAUGGCAGACUGUGAGAGCAAGGUGAUCCCAGAAAGCCAAGACCAGGAUCCCAGCUACUCAUCUCUGCGUUCCAGGGAGGAACUGGAGGCCCCUCCAACUGGUAAAACCCAACUCACCUCAGCUCAGUGUCCUGCAAGCCAGCCUGCCACCCUCAAAUCCAGCCCCAUCAGCAGUGGAGAUGCAGCCAAUGGUAGCUUGGCACCUGCAUCUCAAGUACCUCACAUUCACAAGUGCUGACAGCAGCCAAGCACCUAGCAAAUAUAGAAGGAAAGAGAAGAUGCUGGGGGAGCUGGUGGAUUCCUCUGACACCUGUGGAGAGGUGGUAAAGCAGGCAUGAAAACUGGUUGGGAAGAGCCUGGCAGUCUUCACAGUUGAUACAGAGGCCAUUUCAGUGGGCACAAUCUGCAGGAACAUCCAGUUUGAGAUGCAAAUACAAUCCUCCUUAAUAGAAGAUACAGUCUACAAGGUGCCACUGCUUGAGUCAAUGAAACAGCUGCAGCACUUAGCUUCCUCUGGUAUAAUGAACACCUAUCCCUCUACUGAACUGAUAUGACCCCAGCAGAGCUGCACUCACUGAAUAUAGAGCAGCCACUAGAGAACACUUUAUUCUGGUAUCUUUUUGUAUCCUACCUCCAUGUGAGCUUUUAAUGCCUGUCAGUCCAGCUCUCAGGCACCUCAGCCUUACAACAGUCAGUCAGUGCAACAGUCAGUCUGUCCUCAGCAGCAGUGAUUGUUGCCUCAUUUUGAAGGGCCCUUUGGCCUGCAUGCUAUUCAUUACUUAUAAAUACUUUUGAACAUGUACAUAGUUUCCAACCUUUCACUCACAUUCUACUCCUGUGGGUUAGCACCUUUCCCUGCUUUCACAUUCCUAAGGCCCUGUUGCACUUCAUUUUCCCUAUGCGCAAGAUUUGAAGUUUUACUCCAGUUUGUGCUCUCUGCUUUUGCAUUUGUUCUGACAAUAAAAUACAUU